GAUGAACGCUGACAGAAUGCUUAACACAUGCAAGUCUACUUGAACUUCGGUUUGGGUGGCGGACGGGUGAGUAACGCGUAAAGAACUUGCCUCACAGUUAGGGACAACAUUUGGAAACGAAUGCUAAUACCUGAUAUUAUGAUUUUAGGGCAUCCUAAAAUUAUGAAAGCUAUAUGCGCUGUGAGAGAGCUUUGCGCCCCAUUAGCUAGUUGGAGAGGUAACGGCUCACCAAGGCGAUGAUGGGUAGCCGGCCUGAGAGGGUGAACGGCCACAAGGGGACUGAGACACGGCCCGUACUCCUACGGGAGGCAGCAGUGGGGAAUAUUGGACAAUGGACCAAAAGUCUGAUGCAGCAAUUCUGUGUGCACGAUGACGUUUUUCGGAAUGUAAAGUGCUUUCAGUUGGGAAGAAAAAAAUGACGGUACCAACAGAAGAAGUGACGGCUAAAUACGUG
rnacentral:rRNA from 1 species